rnacentral:rRNA from 1 species
GAUGAACGCUGGCGGCGUGCUUAACACAUGCAAGUCGAACGGAAAGGCCCUGCUUUUGUGGGGUGCUCGAGUGGCGAACGGGUGAGUAACACGUGAGUAACCUGCCCUUGUCUUUGGGAUAACUUCAGGAAACUGGGGCUAAUACCGGAUAGGAGCUCCUGCUGCAUGGUGGGGGUUGGAAAGUUUCGGCGGUUGGGGAUGGACUCGCGGCUUAUCAGCUUGUUGGUGGGGUAGUGGCUUACCAAGGCUUUGACGGGUAGCCGGCCUGAGAGGGUGACCGGCCACAUUGGGACUACGGUACGGACCAGACUGCAACGGGAGGCAGCAGUGGGGAAUAUUGCACAAUGAGCGGACGCCUGAUACAGCAGCGCCGGGUGCGGGAUGACGGCCUUCGGGUUGUGAACCGCUUUCGCCUGUGACGAAGCGUGAGUGACGGUAAUGGGUAAAGAAGCACCGGCUAACUACGUG